rnacentral:rRNA from 1 species
UAGUCAUAUGCUUGUCUCAAAGAUUAAGCCAUGCAUGUCUAAGUAUAAACCACUUUAUACGGUGAAACUGCGAAUGGCUCAUUAAAUCAGUUAUAGUUUAUUUGAUAGUACCUUACUACUUGGAUAACCGUGGUAAUUCUAGAGCUAAUACAUGCUAAAAGUCCCGACUUCUUGGAAGGGAUGCAUUUAUUAGAUACAAAACCAAUGGCGGUGGCAACACCGUCUUCAAGGUGAUUCAUAAUAACUGAGCGAAUCGCAUGGCCUUGUGCUGGCGAUG